UGCUAUAUCCGUUCUUCCUUUCUUUGGUGCAUUAUUCCCUUUUCCUUUACCGGUAUUCUGUCUCUCAAAAUUCCACUUCCUCUUACCUGAGAAAUUUCGAACUUGGUAAGAAUUUUCAAUGUUUUGAGUUCUCUGAUAAGAAAUAGUCUGGGCUCGCUUUAGGACUUCUCGAUAAGUGCCCAACUCAAGAACUGACACUAUGUCACGAAUGUAAGGUUGAAGUCCACGC
rnacentral:lncRNA from 1 species